rnacentral:lncRNA from 1 species
CCAACUCGGUCAUCCCCUUCCCGUGUACACGAGCACGGGGUCGUGGCGUCCAUCCGGGCCACCAUGGCCACUGAUGGCGCCCUGCCGGUCAUCCCACGGCUACCCGGGUGGAUAAGAGCAACCCCAUGCUCUCUCUCUCACCGCCCUGGAAACCCUACCCUCCAUUCGCGCUCCCCUCUCUCUCCCUCGCCUCUUCCCGCCGUUCCCGAGCUCCUGUCGCCAUGGAUGACCUAGUCGUCGUGGCCACCGUGCUCCUCGUCGCGUGAGAUGACGUCUAGGAGGUCCGCCGCGGGCGGAUCCGUCCGUUCUGGGGACCUGCUCAAGCCGGGACGGCCCGUACGAUCGCCAUCGCCACCAUCUUCGCCCACGGCCGCCACACCUCGCCGUCAAGUUCGUUGCAUCCCGGCCGCCCCGUGCCUUUGGACCUUGUCCACGAGCCUCCUGGUGAGCUCCUCUGUCGAUUCCCCUGGUUCCCGUGCUCGAUUCGUUGCCGUAGUUGUCGCCCCGAGUUCGUCCGUGCGCGCCCGUGCGUGGCCUCGGCGCUGCCGUGCUGCUGAUGUUGCGCCCCGCCGUCCGCCUGCUGCCGCAUCGCCGCGCCCCACGUCCACGCGCGCGCUCGUGCGCCCCUCCGUCGCCCAGCCUGCGCGGGCACCGUCGCGACCGCCCGCUAUCGUGCUCCUGCUGUUGCCCUGCUACUGCUGCUCUGCGCUGUUACUGCUGCUCUGCGCUGUUGCUCGCCUCGCCGCUUGCCGCUGUCAUGGUCGUCGUCGCCCCCGCGCACUUCUGCUGCUGCUGCUACGCGAGCGCUGCUACUCACCACGGCCAUGUCUGCUGGAUGCACCCCCGCGCUGUGCUUGCUGCAUCUUGGCCACAUUCAAGGCCUUGUGCGUGUGUGCUCUUGUGCAUGAUGCGCAACCACAUAUCGGCCGGCUUGUGUCACUCCACCUGAACCAGCCAAUUACUAAGGGCCUGAUUAAAGGAUGGUCAGGUCUAAUUAGAGCUAGGUUAACUUGUAGUAUAUGGCAUGUGGGACUCCCUUCAUUAAUUAAAUUAGUUAGUUGUUUUUUUAGCACAUAUGAUAAUGACAUGUGGGUCACACAUAUUGUGGACCAGUCAAUUUGACUGGGUCAACCUAACCUCGUGUCCCCACUUGUUAUGCACUCUAGCUAGAGUAGCACUAGAUGACAAAAGCAUUCACUGUUUUUAAUUCGAAAUUAAUAUAAUUAUAGAAUUUUAGAAAAUUAUUUAAACUUUGGAAAAUCAUAGAAAAUAAACUAUAAUCCGGAUGAAAAUAAUGUAUAUAUGAAAGUUGUUCAAAAAAUCCCACGAAUCCGAAUACGGUGUCCGUUCGUCUGUGACAUGCUCGGAGCAUGAUGAGCAUGGACAUUAUGCAAUAGGUUCAUCUGCUCGGUAAUAGCCAAAGGCCGGGAAAUGUCAUGAGAUAUUUUCCCCUUCGUGUGUAACUUUUAGUAUCGCGUUAGGUCAUCCCUGACACGGUGUAUUACCUUGUCAUGCUUUGUGGUGUGUUUGCUUGCUCUCUUAUUUAUUGUGUUUCCCCUUCGUUAUUUUCCUUUCCGGUAGACCCCGAGACCGAUGUUGAUCCGGUGAUCGACUACUUCAACGUCGGGGAUCUGUAUCUGUCUGCAGAGCAACAAGGCAAGCAAACCCCCCUUGAUCAUUCAUAUAUCGCCUAUGUCUUUCUUCCUACUGCUUGCAUUAGUAUUUUGCUACUGUUGUAGUUAGCUCCUAUAUCUGAUGCAUAGCCUAUUUUUGAUGAACUGCUACUUUCAGCAUUGUACCUUUAAUCUGCUUAGUAUAGGUGGAGCAGUCAUCCCCUCUGACCCUGUAGUCCAGUUGCCCCGCUUGUUUUGAAAUCUUGAUCCCUGAUCGAUGAGCCAGACCCGACACAACACAUACACCCUCCUUAGUUGUACGAAGCUACAGAGAUACUAUCGAGUACCAAGGGUGACACCUCGCUAAGUACUCCUGAUGAUAUCUCUGUAGUAUAGCUAGUCGGUCGUGGUUAUUGAGGAUGAUUCCUCUUUCACCAUUCCCGGCGAUGCCUCUGUCGUGCAACCCCUCAAGUAUGGGACUCCCGAGGGCGAUUCCUCUAAGCCCACCUUGACGGAUACAUCGUUCGGAAUCCAACGAGGGUGAUACCUCGGACCCCGCCGAUGUUACAACCACACAGUUACUCGACCAUGUUACUGGGAUCAUUGGUGGUUAGUUGUUAAGACGGGUGGAUUCCCGCGAGACUGUGUUGAUGGCCUAAUUAAAAUGUUAAUGGAUUUGGGUAUUUGAUCUGGGUUGGUCGGAGACCUUUUCGCACUAACCGUCUACGUGGGAAAAAUUAUGGGUACUCGGCGUCGCGGUACCAGCCGAAGCUUUUCAGAUGUCAGCAACGUAGUGGCGCGCGCCCGAGUGGUCCCGAGAUGCAUUGCGCUUGUGAUUAAGGGAUGCUAGGACUCACGUCGGCCGCCCUCGCACCAUGCAGGAGCGCGGAGGGGAACUGGCCCCAUGAACCCUUUGCGCUUAGGAUUUAGACCGGUGGGCUGGCCUCUCUGAUUAGUCUUAGGUGGGGUUGCGACGUGUCGAUAUUCCGAGGCCGGGCAGGACUCAGAAAAAUGUGUCCGGCCAGAGUGUUAUCGAGCGCGUCGGGACAUGUGGUGCACCCCUACAGGGAUGAAAAUUAACUAUUCGAAUAGCUGUGUCCACGGUUACAGGACGACUUGGAGUUGUGCCCUGAUCUUAUACAACUACAAUUGUUACUUAAUUGGAUCAUUAGUUGCCUCGAGAUUGCUUCCUCGCAUGGAGUCGAGGGAGGAUCUCUGGGCGUGACCUCACUUUAAUAUGUUGCAACAAUAUGACUUUUAUUUGUGUUAACCCCUGUUCUACUCUCGUCUAUUGCUGCAAGACCCUGAAGAUGCUAGUCUUCAAUAGGACUAGGCCUUCUCUCUCUAUUCUCGCAUUGCUGCAGUCAGCCCACAUAUAAACCCCCCCUUCUUUGAUACUGAUGCAUAUUUAGAAUAGUUCUGAUGUAAGACUUGCGAGUACUUUGGAUGAGUACUCACCGCUGCUUUGCUCCCCCCUUGUCCCCUUGAUCCGUUUGCCGCGACCAGAUGAUGGAGCCCAGGAGAUGGAGUUUCCUGCCGAUGUCUGCCAUCCCGAUGGUGUCUUCUUCAUGGAGGCCGCUGAAUACCAGGAGUAGUUAGGAGGUUCCCAGGCAGGAGGCCUCGCCUCGUUCGAUCGUGUUUCUUUUGUGCUUGCCUUCUCUAAGGCACUCCAUGUUUUAUGUCUGUACUCACAUAUUUGUUGCUUCCGCUGACUCGUGUGCUUAUCGAGCUUCUGUAUUCUAGCCCUCGAGGCCCCUGACUUGUAAUAUGAAGCUUGUAUUAUUUUAUUUGUGUCUAGAGUUGUGUUGUGAUAUCUUCCCGUGAGUCCUUGGUUUUGAUCGUACGCAUUUGCGUGUAUGAUUAGCGUACGAUUAAAUCGAGGGCGUCACACGGGUGUCGGUUUCUUCAACUUUAGUUGAAUUGGUUUUGACCGAGGCGGUCCGAGAGAGAGGUUAAAU